rnacentral:tmRNA from 1 species
GUUUCAUCUUGUAACCCUAGUUAAAGAUCUAAACGAUGAAGCUAAACUUGUAGAGGUUUAGUAGACGCCCGUUAGGACGAGGGUUCGAUUCCCUCCACCUCCAUUU